GCCUCUGAGUGGCUGCCCCAGUGGGCUGGGUCCACAGGACAAUUUAUUUACUUAUUUAUUACAAAGUUCAUUUAUUUAUGUGUGUGAGAGAGAGAGUGAGAGAGAGCACGCACCACCAUGGGGGAGGAAGAGAAGCAACCUUCCUGCUGAGCAGGGAGCAUAAUGCGGGGCUCGAUCCCAGGACCCUCCAAUCAUGAUCUGAGCCGACCAGGGGCCCCACGGGACAAUUUAUAGCUGAAUUUGCAGAAAAAGCAACAAACAAGUUGGGGUCCUGGGUCCACUGGCCCCCAUCAGUGACACGGGCCUCAGCAAAGCCUGCCCAUCAAACCAGACAGACCACUCGCUCUCUGCUCAUCCUUGAGUGGGCGUUAAAGUCACAUGAUAGCUGGAAACUUCUGCCUGCCUUGGAGUGUUGCUGUUGGAACUGAACCCGGAAGGGCUGCUUCCCCAGAACCUCAGAUUUUCUGGGAAUAACUGCCCCGCCUUCAGUGAUGUCAGCGGGCAGCUGGAAAUCAGCCUCCGUAGCAUUAUUGACACCAUGGAAAGUGGCUACCAAUCAGGGUAGGCUGUGUGCCCUGCCCUUGGAAGUGGACAGCCCUCAGGGUUCCUUUCUGAGGCACCCAGUGGGGCCCCCAGGUUCUGAUCCUGCUAUCGCUGUCCUGAGCUGGGUAACAAAGGCAAGUCACUUAAAAUCGCAGUGCUUCAGUCCCUCGAUCUGUAAACUGGGGAUAGUAAGUCUUCCCCUGUGGUGUAAUUUGCUCUUUGUCCCGUGUUCCUGGCCUAGAGCUCCUUAAACCUGUGGAAUUUGGUGGUAGGGGUGCCUUGUGUUAUUCAAGAGGAGCCCCUUCUGACCAUACCUGCGUCUGUGGUAAUGAGUUGGCUAGAGAGCUUGGGGGACGGGACUUGUCUCAAGUCCCUGGAGAAACCAAGCCUUUGGAAUUGGUAGCCCCAGCCCCUGACCUGGGGGUGGAAAGGGCCCAGGGCAUGAAUUAAUCAUGAGAGGCCAAUGAUUUCAU
rnacentral:lncRNA from 1 species